CACGUAGGGGGCAAGCGUUGUCCGGAUUUAUUGGGCGUAAAGAGCUCGUAGGCGGUUCGGUAAGUUGGGUGUGAAACCUCCAGGCUCAACCUGGAGACGCCACCCGAUACUGCUGUGACUAGAGUCCGGUAGGGGAGCGUGGAAUUCCUGGUGUAGCGGUGAAAUGCGCAGAUAUCAGGAGGAACACCAGCGGCGAAGGCGGCGCUCUGGGCCGGAACUGACGCUGAGGCACGAAAGCUAGGGGAGCAAACGGG
rnacentral:rRNA from 1 species